GUGCCUUAAACUAAUGAGUAAGGAAAAUAUAGAGUCUUGUUAACUCUGGGUUCAGCUAGGCGACACGGUAGCCGAGCGGUUAAGAGGUUAAGAGGCCUGCAAAGCUAAUAUCGAUCGACUGGGUUCGAUACCCA
rnacentral:snRNA from 1 species